AGUGGGUAUUGAGGCUGUACACAGCCCUUAAAAAGAUCAUGCGUAUGUGUUAACCACAAUGUGCGCUUUAAAAUCUAAUUUUGACCUCGUCUAGAGCAAGAGUACCCGCUGAACUUAAGCAUAUCAAUAAGCGGAGGAAAAGAAACCAACAGGGAUUGCCUUAGUAGCGGCGAGUGAAGCGGCAAAAGCUCAAAUUUGAAAUCUGCCUUACGGCCGAGUUGUAAUUUGUAGAUGGUAACUCUGUGGCAAGCCUUUGCUCAAGUUUUCUGGAAAGAAACAUCAUGGAGGGUGAUAAUCCCGUGAGGCAUUGGUGCAGCUACGUGUAGAGUGCUAUCAAAGAGUCGAGUUGUUUGGGAAUGCAGCUCAAAGUGGGUGGUAGACACCAUCUAAAGCUAAAUAUUGGCGAGAGACCGAUAGCGAACAAGUACUGUGAAGGAAAGAUGAAAAGCACUUUGAAAAGAGAGUGAAAAAGUACGUGAAAUUAUUGAUACUGAAGGGUAUAAAAUUGGACUCAAGGCCUAGGUUCGGUAGCCUCUCGGGGUUGCUUUGUCCUAGGCCCUAAACCAGCAUCAGUUUUGGCAGGUGGAUAAACAACAUGGAAUGUAGCUGCUUGCAGUGUUAUAGACUUGUUGCAUACGCCUCGCCGGGACUGAGGACCGCCUUG
rnacentral:rRNA from 1 species